GGAGUCCCCGCCCUAACUUGGCCAGUAGGUGGUGCAGGUGAGCCAGCUCCCAGACCAGGGCUGGGAAUGGGCAAGCCCUGGUGAGUGUAGGGUGGAGCAGCUUUGCCAGGGGUGAUUGCCUAGACCUGCUUUGUGAAGAGGCGGGAUGUCCUUCUGGUGCGUGUACAGGAAAGAGGGGGAAAUGGCUGGAGACGCAAACUUGCUGGGGCACUUGCUGCAGGAGUGUGCCAGGUGUUGGUGUCCUGGUACUUCUGCCCGCAAAAAUGCUCUUGGCACAUCAGGCUCCAGUGGCCAGGCAGCCUGUCCUGAGACGUGGAGGAGGAGGCAUGCCCGCCUCCCAGAUGAGCCCAGCACUGCCUGAGGACAAAUCUCCCCUCGCUCUUAGUCAGCCCCUGCUCCCACACUCCUCGCAGAUAUUGCUACAUAUCCCUUCCUUCCCCUCCCCACCCUCUUGCUGUCAGCGAACACUGAGGCCCACCAGCAGGACCUCUCUCAGCUUCCUGCGACCUCACAAAUGUUCCUGCGACCACAUGCCCAGAGCUUUCUUCACAUCAGCCUCAGCAGUUGGAACUGGAUUCUGAAAUCCAGGUUUGCAGAGUAAACCAAGCUUUCCUUGGCAGAGAAAACCCAACUCCACAAAAACCACUGGAAGGGAGGGAACAUGGAGGCAGUAUUGUUACUAGCUCAGUGCUUGUACUUUGAAGCUGGACAGAACUGGGACCAGAUCUCAGUUUCCAGACCUGCAAAGUGCGCUAUACACAUACACAACUUAAAAGGCUAGAGUGAAGAUUGAACGGGAUAAUGCAGAAGAAAUGACUAAUGUUAACCAACAUUACUCAACAGAUACUAACUAAAAUUUGCAAGCAAUUAGCUGCAAGUCUCGUGGUUCUGAUCUCAGAAAUGGCUCCUGACUCUGUCCCUUCCUUCCUUCCCCAUGCUAUGGCCUGAGUGAAUGUUGCCAUCGUUUCUUACCCAAGUUCUUCAUUAGUCACAUCAGGCUCUUUAUUUCUCGUACGGCUGAGAGUCUUUUAUUUCAUAACAUGAAAUUAUAUGUAAUAAUACGUAAUUGCUGAUUUCAACUAACACACUUUAUCUCUUAAUAUUAUGGUAUUUUCUUAUAAGAUCCAGUGGCUUCAGAAAGGUGACAACCAAGAAGUGCCAAUUAGGAGCCCAAGGUGGCCCAGCUGGUAAGGACACGGAGCAGGGCCUGCAAACUCAAGCCUGCCUAACUUCAAAGUCAGUGCACUUCCCUGUAGUCUAAUGUCCAGAGAUACAGGGACCCUGUGCCCUUCUUUUGUGGAAACUCUGAUGGGAUUCAGAAAAUACGGAUCACCCACAAGGCAACCUGGGCAGCUAAGACUGAUGCUUGCUCACUCAGGAAACCUCAAACCUUCCUGUUGGAAAGGGCCAGCGGCUAUGGAUAAGGUGCAGUACUGCUGCUCACCAGCAGGGGUCGCGAGAGCCUGCCUGUGCUCACCACAUGUGCGAUGCAGGUGGCACAGGGCACUCUUGAGCCAGGGACUCUCAGGUAGGUUGAGAUCACAAAGCACAACAGUGACGUCCUCCCAUCUACACUGGGAGAGGCAAGAAAAGGUUCAUUCUGAGAGAUUUCUAAAAGACUAUGGCCCUGUCAACACCCUGAUUUUUUUUACUUCUUGUUUCCAGAACUGUGAGAAAAUAAAUG